UUACAUUACCGUCUUCCCGGGGCUGC
rnacentral:sRNA from 1 species